GGCCAGUGGCACUGCUGUGUAAUAGAGGAUGGGAGAGGUGUUUCUGCUCAGCCUGGAUAGAGGAGCAGAAAGGCAAAAGCUCACUUGAUCUUGAUUUUCAGCAUGAAUACCGACUGUGAAAGCAGGGCCUCAUGAUCCUUCUGGCUUUUGCAGUUUUAAGCAGGAG
rnacentral:ncRNA from 1 species